rnacentral:rRNA from 1 species
AUUGAACGCUGGCGGCAUGCCUUACACAUGCAAGUCGAACGGCAGCACGGGAGCAAUCCUGGUGGCGAGUGGCGAACGGGUGAGUAAAGUAUCGGAACGUGCCCAGUCGUGGGGGAUAACGUAGCGAAAGUUACGCUAAUACCGCAUACGAUCUAUGGAUGAAAGCGGGGGAUCGCAAGACCUCGCGCGAUUGGAGCGGCCGCUAUCAGAUUAGGUAGUUGGUGGGGGAAAGGCCCACCAAGCCGACGAUCUGUAGCUGGUCUGAGGAGGACGCCAGCGACACUGGGACUGAGACACGGCCCAGACUCCUACGGGGGGCAGCAGUGGGUAAUUUUGGACAAUGGGCGAAAGCCUGAUCCAGCCAUGCCGCGUGCAGGAUGAAGGCCUUCGGGUUGUAAACUGCUUUUGUACGGAACGAAAAGGACUGCCCUAAUACGGUGGUCCCAUGACGGUACCGUAAGAAUAAGCACCGGCUAACUACGUGCCAGCCGCCGCGGUAA